rnacentral:rRNA from 1 species
CGGGGGGCGGCUACAAUGCAGUCGAGCGGUAACAUGAAGCACCUUGCUGCUUCGCUGACGAGUGGCGGACGGGUGAGUAAUGUCUGGGAAACUGCCUGAUGGAGGGGGAUAACUACUGGAAACGGUAGCUAAUACCGCAUAACGUCGCAAGACCAAAGAGGGGGACCUUCGGGCCUCUUGCCAUCGGAUGUGCCCAGAUGGGAUUAGCUAGUAGGUGGGGUAACGGCUCACCUAGGCGACGAUCCCUAGCUGGUCUGAGAGGAUGACCAGCCACACUGGAACUGAGACACGGUCCAGACUCCUACGGGAGGCAGCAGUGGGGAAUAUUGCACAAUGGGCGCAAGCCUGAUGCAGCCAUGCCGCGUGUAUGAAGAAGGCCUUCGGGUUGUAAAGUACUUUCAGCGGGGAGGAAGGCGAUAAGGUUAAUAACCUUGUCGAUUGACGUUACCCGCAGAAGAAGCACCGGCUAACUCYKKSCMMSMAGCCGCGKUAAUACKGARGUGGUGCAACGCGUUAAUCGGAAUUACUGGGCGUAAAGCGCACGCAGSCGGUCUGUCAAGUCGGAUGUGAAAUCCCCGGGCUCAACSUGGGAASUGCAUUSGAAACUGGCAGGCUAGAGUCWURUAGAGGGRGGUAGAAUUCCAGGUGUAGCGGUGAAAUGCGUAGAGAUCUGGAGGAAUACCGGUGGSGAAGGCGGCCYCYUGGACAAAGACUGACGCUCARGUGCGAAAGCGUGGGGAGCAAACAGGAUUAGAUACCYUGGUAGUCCACGCCGUAAACGAUGUCGACUUGGAGGUUGUGCCCUUGAGGCGUGGCUUCCGGAGCUAACGCGUUAAGUCGACCGCCUGGGGAGUACGGCCGCAAGGUUAAAACUCAAAUGAAUUGACGGGGGCCCGCACAAGCGGUGGAGCAUGUGGUUUAAUUCGAUGCAACGCGAAGAACCUUACCUACUCUUGACAUCCUGAGAACUUUCCAGAGAUGGUUUGGUGCCUUCGGGAACUGUGAGACAGGUGGUGCAUGGCUGUCGUCAGCUCGUGUUGUGAAAUGUUGGGUUAAGUCCCGCAACGAGCGCAACCCUUAUCCUUUGUUGCCAGCGGUCAGGCCGGGAAUUCAAAGGAGACUGCCAGUGAUAAACUGGAGGAAGGUGGGGAUGACGUCAAGUCAUCAUGGCCCUUACGAGUAGGGUUACACACGUGUUACAAUGGCGCAUACAAAGAGAAGCGACCUCGGGAGAGCAAGCGGACCUCAUAAAGUGCGUCGUAGUCCGGAUUGGAGUUUGCAACUGGACUCCAUGAAGUCGGAAUCGCUAGUAAUCGUGGAUCAGAAUGCCACGGUGAAUACGUUCCCGGGCCUUGUACACACCGCCCGUCACACCAUGGGAGUGGGUCCAAAAGAAGUAGGUAGCUUAACCUUCGGGAGGGCGCUACGCACGGUGAUACGUG